rnacentral:lncRNA from 1 species
CAUUUGUACAGGUGGGUUUUCUGGAGACAUUGGUCGUAGUUCCUAGGGUGCCUUAGAAGUGCUUCACGACCCCCCCCUUAGUCACACUUGUAUUGAACACGUGUACUCAGAGACUGAGAUUUAAUAUAGUACUACUUUUGUUAUUUUGUUUGUUUUUGUUUUGUUUUUGUUUUUGUCUUUUUAGAGCUGCAUCCGAGGCAUAUGGAGCUUCCCAAGCUAGGGAUCUAAUUGGAGCUGUAGCUGCUGGCCUAGGCCAGAGCCACAGCAACACCAGAUCAGAGCCGCGUCUGCAGCCUACACCACAGCUUACGGCAGCACUGGAUCCUGAACCCACUGAGUGAGGCCGGGGAUUGAACCUGAAACCUCAUGGUUCCUAGUCGUAUUUGUUUCUGCUGUACCACGAUGGGAACCCCCAAACCUUUUAAAUUAAAAAAAAAAUGUUUUUUUGGGCUGUGCGUGCAGCGCAUGGAAGGAAAUUCCUGGCCCAGGGAUGAAACUCAUGCCAAGCAGUGACUCAUAUAGCAGUGACAGUGCUGGAUCCUAAACCUGCUGCGCCACCAGGGAACUCUGAAGUGAUACUUUUUAAUAACUCACUCAUCCAGGAUGUUCUAAAACUGUUUAAUUCUUUUUUUUUUUUGGACUUUUCUUGGGCUGCACCCGUGGCAUAUGGAGGUUUCCAGGCUAGGGAUCUAAUCAGAUUUGUAGCCUCCGGCCUACGCCAGAGCCACAGCAACACUGGAUCUGAGCCAAGUCUGUGACCUACCCCACAGCGCAUGGCAAUGCCAGAUCCUUAACCCACUGAGAGAGGCCAGGGAUCCAACCGGAAACCUCAUGGUUCCUAGUCGGAUUCAUUAACCACUGAGCUACGACGGGAACUCCUGAAACUGUUUAAUUCUUUUAAAAGUUAAUUAAUUUAUUGAAAUGUGUGUGUGGCAGUGAAGAAUACAGUGACCAGUAAUACAGUUUGGGGCUGCUGCUAACGUGGCUGCAGUUUCCGCCACCCUUGUUUUUGUAUUGGUGCAAACCUAAAUACAGGAAAAUGGGAACGUAAGAUCUGAGUGCUGUUAUGAUAAUGAUUUUGACCUUCAGGAUCCCCAAAAGGGUCUUGGGAACCCUACGGAUCCACAGACCACCCUGAGGAUUGCUGCCUUAUGGGAUAAAGUCCAAACCUUUCCACACAGUCUAAAGACUGCUCUGUUCUCUGUCCCUGUUGACCUUUCUAAUUUUUCCUCUCAUCUGCCUGUACCUCACCUUUUCCCUGCACCUCAAAAUGUGGCCCUUUUGUCACAUGCACUUCCAUGACAUUUCCUUUGCCCUCUUCCUUGUCCCCCCCUCGCCCGCUGUGGCUCUGGCUGACAUCCUUCUAGGCCAAACUGGGCUUCCCUCCCAACCAUUAGUUGUUUUCCCUCUGAUUCCCACCAUCUUCCCAGGCUUAUCACUCUGCCUCUUUCCUAGGUCCCUCUGAUGUACAAUUUUUAAUUUCUUAUUUAUUUAUGUAUGUAUUUAUUUUUUGCUUUUUAGGGCCGUACCUGCGAUAUACAGAGGUUCCCAGGCUAGGGGUCCAAUUGGAGCUACAGCUGCCAGCCUACGCCACAGCCACAGCAAUGUGGGACACGAGCCGCGUCUGUGACCUACACCCCAGCUCACAGCAAUGCCGGAUCCUUAACCCACUGAGCGAGACCAGGGAUCGAACCUGCAACUUCAUGUGAAACAUUUGAACAAAUAGAUGGUGAGAUAUUUUUUGGAGGCUUCUGCUAUGUCAGAAAUCAUAUUACAGGAUUUCCAUGAUGGGUCAUGGUUUAAGGAUCUGGCGUUGUCACUGCUGUGGCUCUGGUUACUGUUGUGGUGUGGGUUUGAUCCCUGGCCUGGGACCUUCCACAUGCCACAGGUUUGGCCCAAAGAAAGAAAGAAUGAGAGAAAGAAAGAAGUGGUAUGGAGUUCCGUCGUGGCUCAGUGGUUAGGGAAUCCGACUAGGAACCAUGAGGUUGCGGGUUCUUUCCUUGACCUUGCUCAGUGGGUUAAGGAUCCGCCAUUGCCCUGAGCUGUGGGGUAGGUUGCAGAUGCGGCUCGGAUCCUGAGUUGCUGUGGCUGUGGUGUAGGCUGGUGGCUACAGCUCCAAUUCAACCCCUAGCCUGGAAACCUCCAUAUGCCGCGGGAGUGGCUCAAGAAAUG